rnacentral:rRNA from 1 species
GACAGAGGUGCCGAGCGUUAGGCGGAAUCACUGGGCUUAAAGCGUAUGUAGCGGAUGCCUAAGUACCUUGUGAAAUCCCACAGCUCAACUGUGGAACUGCUUGGUAUACUGGGUGUCUUGAGCCAUCUAGGGGCAAGCGGAACAAACGGUGGAGCGGUGAAAUGCGUAGAUAUCGUUUGGAACGCCAAUGGUGAAAACAGCUUGCUGGGGAUGUGCUGACGCUGAGACACGAAAGCCAGGGGAGCGAACGGG